AAAUACAGGUGGAAGAAAUUUUUCUAUUUAGUUGCUUUUCAAGCAAGCUAUGUUUGGUGGUGAGACUGUACUAAGUUGGUGCUUGGUGCCAAGAUUUGGAAAUUUUUUAAAGUCUUGGUUUUUUAGACCUAGGGGCUGCAAUAAACUCUUUAAAUCCCCAAAUGACGACUAGUUUCAAAAUAGAGCUGCAAGAAAUGUUGCAAUUUUGUUGCAUUUCAAACAAGCUAUGUUUGGUUGUGUGACUGUACUAAGAUGGUGCUUGGUGCCAAGAUUUGGAAACUUUUGAAAGUAUUGAUUCUUUAGACUUAGGGGCAGCAAUGCACUCUUUAAAUAUCCAAAUGAUAAUUAGUUUAAAAAUAUAGGUGCAAGAAAUGUUUCCAUUUAUUUGCCUUUCGCAAGCUAUGUUUAGUGGUGAGAUUGUACUAAGUUGAAGCUUGAUGCCAAGAUUUGGAAACUUUUGAAAGUCUUGGUUUUUUAGACUUAGGGGCUGCAAUGCACUCUUUAAAUCCCCAAAGGACGACUAGUGUGAAAAUAUAGGUGCAAGAAAUGUUGCAAUUUAG
rnacentral:lncRNA from 1 species